GAAUUUUCGGGCGAGGAGCGGGGGGAGCGCCCGGUUCCAGAACAUCCUGUGCGAGCGUGGCGAGGCCAUAAAAGGCUCAGGGUGAUGGGAUCGGGAACGGCCAGGGAAUUCGCACGCACAGCCCCGAGGAGGAGCCCAGCUGGGGAAACCCUCCCCGCCCUGAGUGUCCUAAUCUCCAGAGGGGGAACAGCAGCGCCGCUGGAUUUACGCGGAUUUUUUUAUAUAUAUAUAUUUUUUUUCCCCCUCUUCCCACGCAGCAAUUCCCAGUCCCAGCUGCUCCCGGCGCCGCUCGCAGCCCGGCGGAGAGUGGGAGGAAGGGGAUGCUCGGAGGAUUUGGGAAAUCCGGAGCAUUUCCAGCCAUGCUCCACCUGGCGCGGCGGCUCCGGAGCCUCUGCCGGGCUUGGCGCAAAACACCAGAACCCGGCCGUUCCCAGCCCCUCUUCCCUCGGGACACGGGGGAGAGGAAGAACCUUUUCCGGAGUUUCCCCGGUGGAUUUCUCUGCCCCACUGAGGAGGGGCUGGAUGGGUUUGACCCUCUCUGGUGGCAGGUGGAGUUUUGGGGCUGUGAGGAUCAUCCCGGCUCUGUCCCGUUCCCAAACGGGAGGAAAUUUGGCUUCCAGCCCCUUGGAAUUUCAACGCUGGAGCAGCAAAACUUCCAAAUCCUGGAGAGAAGAGAGAUGGGAAGGGAAAGGAGCUGCUCUGACAUCUCCCCCUGUUCAUCCCAUGAAUCCUUUGGAAUCUCACCCACCUGGCUCUGAUAAAUCCCAAAUUAUUGCAGAUCUAUAAAUGCCACGAAUCCUCCAAAACGAGGAAUGGGUUUUCCUUGGAGGGAAUAUCCAGGGAGAGCCUCUCCGGGGCUGUCCCUGCCCAUCCACGCUCCAAAUCCACUUGGAAAAAAAACCCCUGGAGGGUUUCUCCCAACCAAGGAAUUCAUUCUGCAGGGAUAAGGAGCGGAGAGGGCUCCGCCCCAUCUCCUCUGGUGGAAAAGCAAUUUCCUCUCCUUUUGGGGAUUCUCCAAUGUCAAUUAGUCUGGGAGGAUGAAGCGAUAAUUCGGAUAAUGUCCCCCGGGCCCUGGGCAAAGGGAAUGGGCCGCAGUUGAAUGCUCUGCCC
rnacentral:lncRNA from 1 species